GGUCUGAGAGGACGAUCAGCCACACGGGAACUGAGACACGGUCCCGACUCCUACGGGGGGCAGCAGUGAGGAAUAUUGCCCAAUGGGGGAAACCCUGAGGCAGCAACGCCGCGUGGAGGAAGAAGGUCUUUACGAUCGUAAACUUCUUUUGUGAGGGAAGAGGAAGGACGGUACCUCAUGAAUAAGUCACGGCUAACUACGUGCCAGCAGCCGCGGUAAUACGUAGGUGACGAGCGUUAUCCGGAAUUACUGGGCGUAAAGCGUACGCAGGCGGCAUGGUAAGUCUGACGUGAAAUCUCCUGGCUUAACUGGGAGAGGUCGUUGGAGACUGCUGUGCUUGAGACAAUGAGAGGGGUGCAGAAUUCCCGGUGUAGUGGUGGAAUGCGUAGAUAUCGGGAGGAAUACCAGAGGCGAAAGCGGCACCCUGGCAUUGGUCUGACGCUCAUGUACGAAAGCGUGGGUAGCAAACGGG
rnacentral:rRNA from 1 species